UACGGAGGGUGCUAGCGUUGUUCGGAAUUACUGGGCGUAAAGCGUGCGUAGGUGGUUUGUUAAGUCUGAUGUGAAAGCCCUGGGCUCAACCUGGGAAUUGCAUUGGAUACUGGCAGGCUAGAGUGCGGUAGAGGAUGGCGGAAUUCCCGGUGUAGCAGUGAAAUGCGUAGAGAUGCGGAGGAACACCGAUGGCGAAGGCAGCCCCCUGGGCCAACACUGACGCUCAGGCACGAAAGCGUGGGGAGCAAACAGG
rnacentral:rRNA from 1 species